rnacentral:rRNA from 1 species
GACGAACGCUGGCGGCGUGCUUAACACAUGCAAGUCGAACGAUGAAGCUGGAGCUUGCUCCGGUGGAUUAGUGGCGAACGGGUGAGUAACACGUGAGCAAUCUGCCCUUCACUCUUGGAUAACUGCGGGAAACUGUAGCUAAUACCGGAUACGAGACCUUGGGGCAUCCCAGGGUCUGGAAAGAAUUUCGGUGAAGGAUGAGCUCGCGGCCUAUCAGCUAGUUGGUGAGGUAAUGGCUCACCAAGGCGACGACGGGUAGCCGGCCUGAGAGGGUGACCGGCCACACUGGGACUGAGACACGGCCCAGACUCCUACGGGAGGCAGCAGUGGGGAAUAUUGCACAAUGGGCGAAAGCCUGAUGCAGCAACGCCGCGUGAGGGAUGAAGGCCUUCGGGUUGUAAACCUCUUUUAGUAGGGAAGAAGCGCAAGUGACGGUACCUACAGAAAAAGCACCGGCUAACUACGUGCCAGCAGCCGCAGUAA